CGUUUAGAAUAUAUUCUUUGGUGACAUUAUCCCACAGUGGAUAAUUAUUUUAUCGUAGGGACACACAUAAAGGGAAAAUGCGUUUGAGUUUGACAACUGGACAAAGCUGAAAAUGAAGCAUCGCUUGGAUUAGCAUGAACUAAGUUAGCUCCAUCCUACUAAAGCUAGCUAGUGUUUUCAGUAACUAGCUAAAGUUCUUUUAUGCCUUUAACGUGGAUUUUCUUUGUUAACCUCUGUUUGUCAGAAUGUCGACCAUAACUCGACAGUGGCUGCAGCUGCACAGAGUCUUAUAAACCUAAAAAAUAUAGAUAACGACUGACUUUAUGUUGUUAGAAAUGUAUUGCCUUUUCAUGGUUAAGUUACUUUAUGUUACAUAGCAUAACGUUAACCUUUCCAAUCCUCUUUGAUAGUGUAUUCUGAUACAUAAGUUAGGCUGUGUUCUAAGUUUGCCCACUUUGCAUAUUUUGUAAGGCAUAACUGUCAUGCUGUUUGUUACAUGUAUGUGAGAUGAAGUAAUUUAAUAAUACUAAUAACUAAUAGUAAAAGUAAUUUAAUGUGACCAGUGCAUUAAUGUAAAAUCAUAUUUGUCUAUUUUAGGAACAACUGAAAACAGACCUUCUUCACAGACUUCUGAGUAAAAUUUCCCAGGUCACACAGAGACUCCCGCUAGAUGUGGGCUAUUUGCAGUUUGUAGUCAACCAGGAGAUGGUCCUGUUUAGGUCAUUGUCAGGCCAAGUUGAGAUGCCACAAGAUGUUGUAAAUGCAUUGACAGAGUUGUCAAUACUUGUCAAUGCAGAGGACAGCUCUAAUAUGAGUCUUUGUCAGGUGCCAGUGUUGCAAGCAGAAAUGGGACGGCCAAAAUAUGUUGUGUCUCAUCAGCAACUACAAAGCCUGGUAGAAAUGUCCCUACCAGUGUCAUGCAUUGCAAAACUUCUGGGUGUAUCUGAGAGGACAGUGAAACGGCGCAUGCAUGAAUAUGGCCUUUCCAUAAUGCAGUAUUACAGUACCUUAACUGAUGAACAACUUGACAAUUUGGUGAGGUCGGUGAAGGCCAGAACACCACAUGUAGGGUGCAGAAUGAUGAAAGGAAUCCUGCAGGCCAUGGGUCACCGUGUCCAGUGGAACAGGGUGUCUUCAUCCAUGCAUCGUGUAGACUCCGUUGGUGUACUCUCAAGACUGACAAGGUUGGGGUGUGUUGCAAGAAGGACUUAUUCUGUCCAGGGUCCUCUGCACUUGGUGCAUAUCGACACAAAUCAUAAGCUCAUCAGGUAGGUCAUAUAUUUUUGCUCAGUAUGAUAAAUUAAAAAUGAAAACAUUAAUAUUCCCCCAAAAUUCCCCACCACAUUUUUAACACUGUUGUUUUGCAUCAGCAAAGAAAUUUACACAAGUACUACAUCAAACUGAUUCAGUGUCGUCCCCCCCAACAGAUAUGGCCUUGUUAUUUUUGGAGGGAUUGAUGGCUUCUCACGAAAGGUAUGAUGACUACUAAAUGAGAUUCAAAAUGACAGGCAUGGUUCUACUUCUUGUUAUAGAUUUGAAAAAUGAAAUGCUUUCAUUUAAUUUCCAGUGAGUGAUAUUCUCUUCUUCAGAUCAUGUACCUAGGUGCUGCGACCAAUAAUAAAGCAUCCACUGCACUUGAUUUCUUCUUUGAGGCAGUGCAGAAGUAUGGCUUUCCAUUAAGAGUAAGAGGUGACCAAGGAUUGGAAAACGUUGGUGUUGCGUGAUGCAUGUUCACCAUUAGAGGCUGUGGAAGGGGGAGUUUCCUGUCAGGAAAGAGUGUACACAACCAAAGAAUAGAACGUUUGUGGCGAGAUGUUUGGAUGACUGUUUCCAAUGUGCACUACGAGAUUCUUCACAGCCUUGAGGACGAAGGUGUUCUAGAUCCUUCUGACAGCAUCCAUCUUUUCUGUGCCCAGCAUGUGUUUCUUCCACGUCUGCAGAGGGAUCUCGAUGUCUUCAGGGUGGGGUGGGAUAAUCACCCUCUGAGAACAGAGCAGAAUCUGUCCCCGCAACAACUGUGGAUGAUGGGGCUCCUCCUGAAUCCUGUUGAUGCUCCAGACCUGACAGAGGCAGUACAAUAUUCUUGGCACAUGCUGACACAACGGGGUAACACACACUGAUGGCCAAAGACUGCACUACAGUCAUGGUUAAACUUGAUCAUUACAGCAAAAUCCUUCUUCUCUGAGGGAAGAAGUGGGAUGUGACCUUGGCCUGUGAUCCACUGGAGAAACCUGGCAGGUGUGAUGGAAUGUAGGCCAUUUUGGUCAUCUACCUGGUCUUCAGCUAUGAAGCAAACAGAUAAAACAACAAGUGUUAUGUGACCAUUAAAAAUGUUAUUCCUUA